AGGGGCUAAGUUUAGGAGAAGAUAUGUACAGCUGUUGUAUUAGAACGCCUUGGCAGCCAUCGAAUUUCAUGUGGAAUUGAGGACUGUUUUGAAUCCUUAAGUUGCUUAUUACUAGAUUGGAGCUCAUGAAGAACCGAAUCAACGCAGGGCUGUCACAUGGUCCUUUCGAUGCCUUUCCGUUAGAACUCCGGUGAGGUUUGCAGGGGAGAUCCCACCACUUCUCUCCAUUGCCUUCAAUAGUUCCUUUUCCGGUGAGAGUCAUACCAUCGAGUCGAUAAAACACAAGCCAUUGCUUUCUGCUAUCUUUUUCCGGCCAGGAAUCUGGUCCAUCCGGUGGCAUUAGGAGCCCAUCCACCUGAAACACAAGUCCUGGCUUGCAAGGCCCUGAGAAAAUGGUUGAAGUGAUCAUGAAAACAUAACCUGAAGGAGCCAAAACAACUCCUGAUUCAACUUCACAGGCUGCCUUCCAUGCUGCCACAAAUGCGUUAGUGUCAUCAGCGGAACCAUCUCCAACUGCCCCAUAAGAUUUCACGUCGAAAAUGCGAUCUGAAGUGGAUGGAUCUGAGGGAAUUGGAGGAGCAUUAACCGGGGAGGAAGGAACAGAGGGGUGUUGAGGAUCAGGGGAUGGAGAAACGGGGGACCCUGGUUUUUUGGAGGACUUAUUUUUGGUCUUGUGAUGAUGGUAUCUUCCUUGUACGUUGCUUGAAUUCUGAAGGAGAAAAAUCACUAUAAUCGAAAUGACUACCAACCCGCGAACAAGCUCCAUAAGAAGGAAAGAAUUGAACUUGGAAGGACAGUAGUGUAGGCAAUCUUCAAUACUAUAAAUCUGAUUCUGGAUCAGAAAAUUUGAACUUGUGUACAAUCAAGCAAGCAUUCGAAUCAUUGAACGAAAUCACUACUGUAUUU
rnacentral:misc_RNA from 1 species